GACGAACGCUGGCGGCGUGCCUAAUACAUGCAAGUCGAGCGAAUCGACGGGAGCUUGCUCCCUGAGAUUAGCGGCGGACGGGUGAGUAACACGUGGGCAACCUGCCUAUAAGACUGGGAUAACUUCGGGAAACCGGAGCUAAUACCGGAUACGUUCUUUUCUCGCAUGAGAGAAGAUGGAAAGACGGUUUACGCUGUCACUUAUAGAUGGGCCCGCGGCGCAUUAGCUAGUUGGUGAGGUAAUGGCUCACCAAGGCGACGAUGCGUAGCCGACCUGAGAGGGUGAUCGGCCACACUGGGACGGAGACACGGCCCAGACUCCUACGGGAGGCAGCAGUAGGGAAUCUUCCGCAAUGGACGAAAGUCUGACGGAGCAACGCCGCGUGAACGAAGAAGGCCUUCGGGUCGUAAAGUUCUGUUGUUAGGGAAGAACAAGUACCAGAAUAACUGCUGGCACCUUGACGGUACCUAACCAGAAAGCCACGGCUAACUACGUGCCAGCAGCCGCCGCCGUAA
rnacentral:rRNA from 1 species